UACGUAGGGUGCAAGCGUUAUUCGGAAUUACUGGGCGUAAAGCGUGCGCAGGCGGUUUUGCAAGAGAGAGGUGAAAUCCCCGGGCUCAACCUGGGAACUGCAUUUGUGACUGCAUGGCUAGAGUACGGUAGAGGGGGAUGGAAUUCCGCGUGUAGCAGUGAAAUGCGUAGAUAUGCGGAGGAACACCGAUGGCGAAGGCAAUCCCCUGGACCUGUACUGACGCUCAUGCACGAAAGCGUGGGGAGCAAACAGG
rnacentral:rRNA from 1 species